rnacentral:rRNA from 1 species
CUGAUGCAGCGACGCCGCGUGAGGGAUGACGGCCUUCGGGUUGUAAACCUCUUUCAGUAGGGAAGAAGCGAAAGUGACGGUACCUGCAGAAGAAGCGCCGGCUAACUACGUGCCAGCAGCCGCGGUAAUACGUAGGGCGCAAGCGUUAUCCGGAAUUAUUGGGCGUAAAGAGCUCGUAGGCGGUUUGUCGCGUCUGCUGUGAAAGACCGGGGCUCAACUCCGGUUCUGCAGUGGGUACGGGCAGACUAGAGUGCAGUAGGGGAGACUGGAAUUCCUGGUGUAGCGGUGAAAUGCGCAGAUAUCAGGAGGAACACCGAUGGCGAAGGCAGGUCUCUGGGCUGUAACUGACGCUGAGGAGCGAAAGCAUGGGGAGCGAACAGGAUUAGAUACCCUGGUAGUCCAUGCCGUAAACGUUGGGCACUAGGUGUGGGGGACAUUCCACGUUUUCCGCGCCGUAGCUAACGCAUUAAGUGCCCCGCCUGGGGAGUACGGCCGCAAGGCUAAACUC